AGGGUUUGAUCAUGGCUCAGAACGUACGCUGGCGGCACGCCUUAUACAUGCAAGUCGAACGAAGUAGCAAUACUUAGUGGCAGACGGGUGAGUAACAUGUAGGUAUCUUCCCUUUGGUGAGGAAUAACACGAGGAAACUUGUGCUAAUACCUCAUAAGUCUUUACGGAGAAAGCUUUAUGCGCCGAAGGAUGGGCCUGCAUUUGAUUAGUUUGUUGGUGGGGUAAUGGCUCACCAAGACUAUGAUCAAUAGCUGAUCUGAGAGGAUGAUCAGCCACAUUGGGACUGAGACACGGCCCAAACUCCUACGGGAGGCAGCAGUAGGGAAUAUUGCACAAUGGAGGAAACUCUGAUGCAGCGAUGCCGCGUGAGUGAAGAAGGCCUUUGGGUUGUAAAGCUCUUUCGUCGGGGAAGAAAAUGACUGUACCCGAAUAAGAAGGUCCGGCUAACUUCGUGCCAGCAGCCGCGGUAAUACGAAGGGACCUAGCGUAGUUCGGAAUUACUGGGCUUAAAGAGUUCGUAGGUGGUUAAAAAAGUUGGUGGUGAAAUCCCAGAGCUUAACUCUGGAACUGCCAUCAAAACUUUUAGCUAGAGUAUGAUAGAGGAAAGCAGAAUUUCUAGUGUAGAGGUGAAAUUCGUAGAUAUUAGAAAGAAUACCAAUUGCGAAGGCAGCUUUCUGGAUCAUUACUGACACUGAGGAACGAAAGCAUGGGUAGCGAAGAGGAUUAGAUACCCUCGUAGUCCAUGCCGUAAACGAUGUGUGUUAGACGUUGGAAAUUUAUUUUCAGUGUCGCAGCGAAAGCAUUAAACACACCGCCUGGGGAGUACGACCGCAAGGUUAAAACUCAAAUGAAUUGACGGGGACCCGCACAAGUAGUGGAGCAUGUGGUUUAAUUCGAAGAUACGCGCAGAACCUUACCAACACUUGACAUGUUCGUCGCGACUUUAAGAGAUUAAAGUUUUCGGUUCGGCCGGACGAAACACAGGUGCUGCAUGGCUGUCGUCAGCUCGUGUCGUGAGAUGUUGGGUUAAGUCCCGCAACGAGCGCAACCCUCACUUUUAGUUGCCAUCAUUUAGUUGGGCACUCUGAAAGAACUGCCAGUGAUAAGCUGGAGGAAGGUGGGGAUGACGUCAAGUCCUCAUGGCCCUUACGUGUUGGGCUACACACGUGCUACAAUGGCAUUUACAAUAGGAUGCAAGAUGGCGACGUCAAGCAAAUCCUAAAAAGAUGCCUCAGUUCGGAUUGUACUCUGCAACUCGAGUACAUGAAGCUGGAAUUACUAGUAAUCGCGGAUCAGCGCGCCGCGGUGAAUACGUUCCCGGGUCUUGUACACACCGCCCGUCACACCAUGGGAGUUGGUUCUACCUUAAGGCAAGGUUUAAAACCCUUGACCACGGUAUAGUCAGCGACUGGGGUGAAGUCGUAACAAGGUA
rnacentral:rRNA from 1 species